rnacentral:rRNA from 1 species
AGAUUGAACGCUGGCGGCAUGCCUAACACAUGCAAGUCGAACGGGAGUAGCAAUACUCUAGUGGCGGACGGGUGAGGAAUACGUAGGAAUUUGCCCUUAAGUGGGGGAUAACCCGGGGGAAACCCGGAUUAAUACCGCAUGACCUCGAAAGAGCAAAGUGGGGGAUCGCAAGACCUCACGCUUUUGGAGAAGCCUACGUCGGAUUAGCUAGUUGGUGAGGUAAUGGCUCACCAAGGCGACGAUCCGUAACUGGUCUGAGAGGAUGAUCAGUCACACCGGAACUGAGACACGGUCCGGACUCCUACGGGAGGCAGCAGUGGGGAACCCGUAUUGGACAAUGGGCGCAAGACCUGAUCCAGCAAUAGCCGCGUGUGUGAAGAAGG